AUCCCAGUUUUUCCCCAAAUUCCUCUUUUAUUCACCCAAAAUCCUGGGUUUUUGUCACCAAAUUCCCAUUUUUUUUUGCCCCAAAUCCCCUGUUUUUCCCCCCAAAACCCUAAAAUCCCAUUUUUUUCCCCCAAACCCACCAAAAAUUACAUUUUUUCCCCCCAAAUCCCGUUUUUCUUGCCCCCAAAACCCUCAAAUCCCAUUUUUUCCCCCAAAAUUCUGCUUUUUCCCUCCCAAAACCCCAAAAUUUUGUUUUUUCACCCCAAAGCCCCCGAAAUUCCAUUUUUUUCCCUCCAAAAUUCUGGUUUUUCCCCCCAAAAUUCCGUUUUUCCCCCCAAAAUCCCAUUUUUUUGCCCCAAAACUCCCAAAAUUCCGUUUCUUCCCCCCAAAUCCCACUUUUUCCCCCCAAAACCCCCAAAAUCCCAUUUUUUUGCCCCAAAACCUCAAUUUCCCACUGUUUUCCCUCCCAAAUCCCGGGUUUUUUCUCCCCAAACCCCCCAAAAUUCCAUUUUUCCCCCCCAAAAUCCCCAAAAUUCUGUUUUUCCCCCCAAAAUUCCAUUUUUUCUCAAAAAACCCCCAAAAUCCCAUUUUUUCACCCCAAAACCCCGAUUUCCUGCUGUUUUCUCCCCCAAAUCCUUGAUUUUUUCCCCCCAAACCCCCCAAAAUUCCAUUUUUCCCCCCAAAAUUCCGUUUUUUCCCCACAAAAUUCUGUUUUUUCCCACCAAAAUUCUGUUUUUUCCCCCAAAAUUCCAUUUUUUCGCCCCAAAACCCCAAUUUCCCGCUGUUUUCCCCCAGCUCUCCUGGCGGGCGCGGUCGCGGGCGAGGACGAGGAGGAUCUGUUUUCCCCCAAAAUCCCAAAAUCCCGUUUUUUCGCCCCAAAACUCCCCAAAUCCCUUUUUUUCCCCAAAAAAACCCCAAAAUUCCGUUUUUUCGCCGCAAAACCCCAAUUUCCCGCUGUUUUCCCCCAGCUCUCCUGGCGGGCGCGGUCGCGGGCGAGGACGAGGAGGAUCUGGGCAACCUCUGGGCCACGGCCNNNNNNNNNNNNNNNNNNNNCCGAAUUCCCAUUUUUUUACCCCAAAUUCCCAUUUUCCCUCCCCAAAAUCCAGAAUUCCCAAGUUUUCCCCCCAAAACCCCAAAUUCCCAUUUAAAUCCCAGUUUUUCCCCAAAUUCCUCUUUUAUUCACCCAAAAUCCUGGGUUUUUGUCACCAAAUUCCCAUUUUUUUUGCCCCAAACCCACCAAAAAUUACAUUUUUUCCCCCCAAAUCCCGUUUUUCUUCCCCCCAAAACCCCAAAAUUCCAUUUUUUCACCCCAAAGCCCCCAAAAUUACAUUUUUUUCCCUCCAAAAUUCCGGUUUUUCCCCCCAAAAUUCUGUUUUCCCCCCCAAAAUCCCGUUUUUUCGCCCCAAAACUCCCAAAAUUCCAUUUUCUCCCCCCAAAUUCCACUUUUUCCCCCCAAAACCCCCAAAAUCACGUUUUUUCUCCCCAAAACCCCGAUUUCCCGCUGUUUUCCCUCCCAAAUCCUGGGUUUUUUCCCUCCAAACCCCCCAAAAUUACAUUUUUCCCCCAAAAUCCCCAAAAUUCUGUUUUUCCCCCCAAAAUUCCAUUUUUUCCCAAAAAACCCCCAAAAUCCCAUUUUUUUGCCCCAAAACCUCAAUUUCCCACUGUUUUCCCUCCCAAAUCCCGGGUUUUUUCUCCCCAAACCCCCCAAAAUUACAUUUUUCCCCCCAAAAUUACAUUUUUUCCCCACAAAAUUCCGUUUUUUCCCCCAAAAUUCUGUUUUUUCCCCAAAAAUUCCAUUUUUCCUCCCAAAACCCCAAUUUCCCGCUGUUUUCCCCCAGCUCUCCUGGCGGGCGCGGCCGCGGGCGAGGACGAGGAGGAUCUGUUUUCCCCCAAACUCCCAAAAUCCCGUUUUUUCGCCCCAAAACUCCCAAAAUCCCUUUUUUUCCCCAAAAAAAACCCCCAAAAUUCCGUUUUUUCGCCGCAAAACCCCGAUUUCCCGCUGUUUUCCCCCAGCUCUCCUGGUGGGCGCGGUCGCGGGCGAGGACGAGGAGGAUCUGGGCAACCUCUGGGCCACGGCCUCGACCUUCAUCGUCCUCUUCAUCCUCAGCCUCUUCUACAGCGCCACCGUCACCCUCAUCAAGGUACCCGAAAUCGCCCGAAAUCGACCCAAAAUCCACCCCGAAAUCACCUGAAAUCGGCCCCAAAAUUACCCCAAAAUCAACCCCAAAAUCACCUGAAAUAACCCAAAAUCAAUCCCAAAAUCACCCAAAUUAA
ensembl:lncRNA